rnacentral:lncRNA from 13 species
UUCUCUCCUGUGGCAGAUACGCACAAAAAGAACAUGAGGUCUCAGUUUGCUCUUUGGAAAUCGAAAUGGGAGUGGGAGUCAGGUUCUCGCUGUGGGUAUCUGGCUAUCUACACACAUUUAUGGAGCACUUAGGGAGAGACAGACUGUGUGUUCUAGGCUUUUAACAGGGAUUCAGUUCUCACUGUGGGCUGCAGUAACAGGAUUUCCAGCUUGCGGGUGGGGACCUCCCCAGGGGCCUGCCCUCUCCUGCCCAGAAUUGCCCUGCCUCUGGUUCCUGUCGAUGGUAACUAGGUGUGACCUUAUUAAUUUAGCCACCCAGUGGCUGUCCCAAGAGCCCUCUAAAUCUACAAUCACUGAGGCCUCACUGAAAAGUCUUCCUUUCUUCUGCAAUCAAGGGGCCAAUAUUUUAGCUUUUAGAAUAACUUAGUAUGCAAAUACUGACCGAUGGACAUCAGUGGGGCACAGGUGUCUUUAUGAGUCAGAGCAGAGACAAGAGAGAAGUCAGUUUUCUCUCUCAAUUAAAUCAGCCCCAAUGGAACAGCCUCAAUUUAAACGGGAACGUUUUUAAAGUAGUGAUCUGUUUAACUUUCGCAGUGAGCUCCCUCUGGAGAAAUAUCUAGAUGUGGGGGAGAAAUGUUUCCUUAUUAUGCUUAGUUUUAAAAGAGUUGCCUUUUCUUUGACCUGAAUACCAUGAGAUGUGGAUCCUUUUCAGCCUUGGCAGAAGAGAAAGGGUCGAAAGACUCCACUAUUGAUUGGAAGGCAGCUUCUCUUCUUUUUACCUAUGAGUAAACCAUGAAAUCAGAAUCUCUCAGAACUUCAGAGCCAAUGAGACCUCAGACGUCACUGCCCCAUACCUUCAUUUCAUGGUAGAGGGAACAGAGCCUCAGGAGGAUAAAUGUCUUCUCAACCGCCCCAAAAUUAGUUAGUUCCUAAGGCAUUAAUAGUUGUUCUGACUCAUAGGUCAGGGCUCUUUCUAUAUUCACAAACCUGAUGUUUCAGUUAUAAAAGGUAUGUGUUCUUCAGCAAUGCUUUAUUUAUUUAUUUAUUUUUAAUUAUUUAUUUCUGUUGAUAGAGACUCAUGAAUAUUUCUUUCUUUUUUUUUAUUGCAUUUUAGGUU